rnacentral:rRNA from 1 species
UACAGAGGGGGCAAGCGUUGUUCGGAAUUACUGGGCGUAAAGGGCGCGUAGGCGGCCUCUUAAGUCGAACGUGAAAUCCCCGGGCUUAACCCGGGAACUGCGUCCGAUACUGGGGGGCUUGAAUUCGGGAGAGGGAUGCAGAAUUCCAGGUGUAGCGGUGAAAUGCGCAGAUAUCAGGAGGAACACCGGUGGCGAAGGCGGGUCUCUGGGCCGAUACUGACGCUGAGGAGCGAAAGCGUGGGGAGCGAACAGG